CCACAUUGUCACAUUACAGAGGGGUUAAAGGAGCAAUCCGCAAAAAGAUGGGCUCGCGUCCCAUUAGGUAGUUGGUGAGGUAACGGCCCACCAAGCCUGCGAUGGGUAGCCGAGCUGAGAGGCUGAACGGCCACACUGGAACUGAGACACGGUCCAGACUCCUACGGGAGGCAGCAGUGGGGAAUAUUGGGCAAUGGGCGCAAGCCUGACCCAGCAACGCCGCGUGAGGGAAGAAGGUUUUCGGAUUGUAAACCUCUGUCCUUGGGGACGAAAAAAAUGACGGUACCCGAGGAGGAAGCCCCGGCUAACUACGUGCCAGCAGCCGCGGUAAUACGUAGGGGGCGAGCGUUGUCCGGAAUUACUGGGCGUAAAGGGCGCGUAGGCGGUUUGUUAAGUCAGAAGUGAAAACUCCGGGCUCAACUCGGAGACUGCUCCUGAAACUGGUAGACUUGAGUGCAAGAGAGGGAAGUGGAAUUCCUAGUGUAGCGGUGAAAUGCGUAGAUAUUAGGAGGAACACCAGUGGCGAAGGCGACUUCCUGGCUUGUAACUGACACUGAGGCGCGAAAGCGUGGGGAUCAAACAGGAUUAGAUACCCUGGUAGUCCACGCCGUAAACGAUGAGUGCUAGGUGUCGGGGGUAUCGACCCCCUCGGUGCCACAGCUAACGCAAUAAGCACUCCGCCUGGGGAGUACGGUCGCAAGACUGAAACUCAAAGGAAUUGACGGGGGCCCGCACAAGCGGUGGAGUAUGUGGUUUAAUUCGACGCAACGCGAAGAACCUUACCAAGGCUUGACAUCCCGUGACAGCUGUGGAAACACGGUUUAACAUCUAUACACGGAGACAGGUGGUGCAUGGUUGUCGUCAGCUCGUGUCGUGAGAUGUUGGGUUAAGUCCCGCAACGAGCGCAACCCUUAUCCUUAGUUGCCAGCAUUCAGUUGGGCACUCUAAGGAGACUGCCGGUGAUAAACCGGAGGAAGGUGGGGAUGACGUCAAAUCAUCAUGCCCCUUAUGUCUUGGGCUACACACGUGCUACAAUGGCCGGUACAAAGGGCAGCAAAGCCGCGAGGUGGAGCCAAUCCCAGAAAGCCGGUCUCAGUUCGGAUUGCAGGCUGCAACUCGCCUGCAUGAAGUUGGAAUCGCUAGUAAUCGCAGGUCAGCAUACUGCGGUGAAUACGUUCCCGGGCCUUGUACACACCGCCCGUCACACCACGAAAGUCUGCAACACCCGAAGCCGGUGAGGUAACG
rnacentral:rRNA from 1 species